CUACUAUGGACCUAAUCCAAAGACCAUUGAAGUCAGCAGGAGUCUUUCCACUGACUUCAAUGGGUUUUGGAUCAGGCCCCAUAUGG
rnacentral:pre_miRNA from 1 species